CUACUUUAACCAGGUCAAUGAGGCUAUAAAAUGUCUGUUGCAAGACAGCAGUCUACUUAACCUGCACUACAUGCCUUGUACUUGAAGUUUUCUCAGGUGUGAAAAGUUAAACCUGAUUAAGAAAAAAAAAAAGACUGCCAUGGUCAUUUAUCAUCCUUCGUUUGAGAUUCCCCUCUUGUGUAUUGGUUUGGUUCUGUGGAUUUUCUGUUGUCAUUUUGCAAAAAAACACAGAAGAGAGGAAGGCUUGCCCCCAAGGCCUAAUAACUCUCCAUCUGUAUAUGUCAUCCCCAUAUAUGAUGAGGAGCGGGAGGAAGAGGAGGAGGAAGAGGAAGAAAUAAUGGGCAUAUAUGAAGCAUAUUUUCAACCUCCUUACAGAGAACCUCCCAUGUACUGCUCAAGAAAUGUCAGUCCACCUCCUCCAUACAGGCUUGAACCACCAUCCUAUCCAGAUCCCCCACUAUCAUACACAGACCCUCCACCUUACUCAGAGCAACCCUCAUCCUCCUUACCUUUCUCAUCCUCCUCCUCAAACACACUCUAGCCUCUACUGCACUUUUCAUUACAGGACAGGUCACAGCAGCUUUCAGUGCAUAUACAGUAUGUAGUCAUGUGCUUCAUGUGGGACAUAUAGGAUGAGGAGGGUGGCCUGAGGGUUUCCUCAGUGAAACUUUGUCACACUGUCACUAUGAAUGAAUGGCUGUCUGUCUAUGUGUGUUAGCUCUUUGAUAGACUGGUGUAUAUACCUGUAAACAACAACUACAUCCCACAUAUUUUAUUAAGUUGUAUGUGCAUGUGUAAAAUAUGUAUAGAAACUUAUUUUUGUAAUAAUUUAUACUGAUGAAUAAAAAUAAUUUAAGUGAAUCACACUUAAUAAUAAUUUAAAAAGAGUCUGGUUUUGUUGUCUGGAAAGCAAGAUAAAGAUGAGGUUUCAGUCCAUUUCGUGCAACAAAUUCAGGGGGAAACAAAUACCAAUAAAUUGUUUUUACGAUAGAAUUUGUAAGAGUAACGGAACAAGAGUGAAUUCUAACCGACUAACUGUUCAGUGAGUGAAGUAGAUUUCAGACUGAUUGCAUUCAACAUACACACAGGAAAUGUGCAAGACACAGAGCACACCUCAAAGUCCUGUGUCUUUAAAUGAGACAAUAAUGCUGUAAAAGCUCAUCACAUUGUGUACUUCCCUAAGUGACACAUUAUUGCUUCAUAGCGACCCACAUGUCAGGACAGUUUUUCUAUGUUUUGGGACUCUUAAACAAGUAAUGUGAGCAAGUUGACGUAAUUCCAGCCAUGACCAUUGUAGUGAACAUCUUUCAAAUUAUAUUCCCAGUCUUGGUGGUGUCCAUAGCUGUGGUACUCCUCUGCUUCUAUCUGCAUGCAAAGAAGAAAAGAGCAGCGUAUGAUGUCACUAUACCAGCAAUACAACAUGACAGCAGAGUCUCCAUCCAAACCAUUUCUUUGCCUGAAGAUCAGCAAGAAUUGGAGAGACAUUAUGACAUAUUCCCUCCCCGCUACAGCACUGUCGAUCACCCACCACCAUACUCACUGUUUGAUCCGAAGCUGACAAGCAUUUGGCCAGGGGGCUCGCCGCCUGCCUACGAGAUGUAUCCAAUUACGCUGCCUCUGGCACCUCAUCACUGGCUGACACCCACAGGGCCUAUGUAUCCCACUCCAUCAACCUCAAAC